rnacentral:rRNA from 1 species
CAAAAACAUUGCCACCCGAAAAAUAAUGGGUGGUACCUCCUGCCCAGUGAAUAAUAUUUCAACGGCCGCGGUAUCCUAACCGUGCAAAGGUAGCAUAAUCACUUGCCCAUUAAUUGUGGGCUAGAAUGAAUGGAUAAACGAAAUAGAAACUGUCUCAAUUACUUGCAUAAAAAUUAUUAUUUAGAUGAAGAAAUCUAAAUAAAGUCGAAGGACAAGAAGACCCUAUAGAGCUUUAUCUAAAAUAGGAAAUUCCCUUAAUAAGAUUCGGUUGGGGCGACCAAGGAAUAAAAAUCAUCCUCUAAAAAAAAGAUAAAUUAAUCAAUUUAAAUGACCCUUAAAACAGGAUCAAAAGAACAAGCUACCUUAGGGAUAACAGGCUAAUCCCAUUUAAGAGUCCUUAUUAACAAUGGGGGUUGGCACCUCGAUGUUGGCUUAGGAAAUCUGUUUGGCGCAGCAGUCAAAACCAGAUGGUUUGUUCAACCAUUAAUAUCCUACGUGAUCUGA